rnacentral:rRNA from 1 species
AGUGGAUGGGGAGCAACCUAGUUGUGCGUGUGUAAAGGUAGUGCCAAGAAAAGCGAUGAUCAUGUUGAAAAUCAAUUCCCGGUACCCGAAACCGACACAGGUGGGCAAGUAGAGAAUACUAAGGGGCGCGAGGUAACUCUCUCCAAGGAACUCGGCGAAAUGACCCCGUAACUUAGGGAGAAGGGGUGCCACCGAGAGGUGGUCGCAGUGAAGAGGCCCAGGCGACUGUUUAGCAAAAACAUAGGUCUCUGCAAACUCGAAAGAGGAGGUAUAGGGGCUGACGCCUGCCCAGUGCCGGAAGGUUAAAGAAGUUGGUCAGUCUUAGGAUGAAGCUAGCGACUGAAGCCCCGGUGAACGGCGGCCGUAACUAUAACGGUCCUAAGGUAGCGAAAUUCCUUGUCGGGUAAGUUCCGACCCGCACGAAAGGCGUAACGAUCUGGGCGCUGUCUCGGAGAGAGGCUCGGCGAAAUAGGAUUGUCUGUGAAGAUACGGACUACCUGCAUUUGGACAGAAAGACCCUAUGAAGCUUUACUAUAGCUUGGAAUUGUGUUCGGGCUUCCUGUGCGCAGGAUAGGUGGGAGGCGUAGAAGGUAUUCUUGUGGGGAUACUGGAGCCAACGGUGAGAUACCACUCUCAGGAGGCUAGAAUUCUAACUUAAUUAAGGACAGUUUCAGGUGGGUAGUUUGACUGGGGCGGUCGCCUCCAAAAAGGUAACGGAGGCGUACAAAGGCUCCCUCAGACUGGUUGGAAAUCAGUCGAAGAGUGCAAAGGCAGAAGGGAGCUUGACUGCGAGAAGUACAGUUCGAGCAGGGUGGAAACACGGUCUUAGUGAUCCGACGGUGCUGUGUGGAAGGGCCGUCGCUCAACGGAUAAAAGUUACUCUAGGAUAACAGGCUGAUCUCCCCCAAGAGUUCACAUCGACGGGGAGGUUUGGCACCUCGAUGUCGGCUCAUCGCAACCUGGGGCGGAAGUACGUCCCAAGGGUUGGGCUGUUCGCCCAUUAAAGCGGUACGUGAGCUGGGUUCAGAACGUCGUGAGACAGUUCGGUCCAUAUCCGAUGUAGGCGUGAGAAUAUUGAGAGGAGCCUUCCUUAGUACGAGAGGACCGGGAAGGACGCACCGCUGGUGUACCUGUUAUGAUGCCAAUUGUAAACGCAGGGUAGCCAAGUGCGGAGAGGAUAACCGCUGAAAGCAUCUAAGUGGGAAGCCCACCUCAAGAUGAGUAUUCUGGUGUAAGGUCACGGGAAGACGACCCGUAAAUAGGCACGAGGUGGAAGUGCAGAGAUGUAUGAAGCCGAAGUGUACUAAUAGACCGUCGGCUUGACCG